rnacentral:rRNA from 1 species
CUCUUAUUCGCUGAUGGUACCUGCGAGUUCGCGGGAGAGUAAGCUAUUGCCAGGG